rnacentral:lncRNA from 1 species
CAACGAUGACGAUAGUGGCAAUCAUUUAUUAAGCAUUGCCCUGGCCUAAGACACCACAUGGGUCAUUUCUUCCAGGCUCCAACUUGCUUCUGCUUUGCCAUAUGGUAACACGCCGUAUUAUGGAAGCACCAUCAUUACCGCCAUUUGCAGGGGAAGCCUAAAGAGAUAAAUGCCAGCCAGCAUCCCUGUCUCUGGGGCCCUGGAGAGGCCUUCAACACACCUGGCCUCACUGCCCUGUGGCUUCAACAAAGAGGCCGAGCAUCUCCUAUAAACCUUGAGGUCCAUGGAUGACAUAGCGGAAUGAUGGAUUUCAGAAAAGGCAGGUGCUUCCCACUCUUUAAAUUUUUGUUUAUUCUUUCCAAGUUUCCCAUCAACAGCCCUGCAGUAAAAAUUCAGGGCUUCAGAGACAAAUAUUUCAUGAGUACAGACUGUGAUGAGGAAAAGCAAGCCAUUCCCUCUCUAUCAGGAUCCAGAGCACACUGCUGUUACGACUCCAGAACCGAUAAGGAAGCUAUGUGUGGAAGUAUGAGCUCAGGUCGCCUUCUGACCCUCUGUGACGGUCUAUUUCAGGCAGUUAUGGAUAGAUAACAUUACAGACACUGACACAAUGAACAAAAACCAGAGCUUUUGAAUACAGAUUUCCAGUAAAACCAAACCCAGCUUGGGUCAGAUGCACCUUUCCAGCAACCACCAUCUCAGCAACAACCUGCCAGCUGUCAACUGGAAGUUCAGCUUCUGGGAACUUCAGCCCCCUUCUCAGAGGAGCAAGGUCCUAGCACCAACAGCACCUGCAGUGGAGCCCAAGUAUGGCUGCUUCAUGGAGAAGGCAGGUAUCUGUUUGCGUGCAAAUCCGUGAGUGCUUGCAUCUCGUGUAUUUGAAAAUCCUGUUUAAGAAUGCAGAGGUCCAUAUAGUGUCAUUAAAACAAAUGAGUAUAA